CCUACGGGGGGCUGCAGUGAGGAAUAUUGGUCAAUGGACGAGAGUCUGAACCAGCCAAGUAGCGUGAAGGAUGACUGCCCUAUGGGUUGUAAACUUCUUUUAUAUGGGAAUAAAAUGUUCCACGUGUGGGAUUUUGUAUGUACCAUAUGAAUAAGGAUCGGCUAACUCCGUGCCAGCAGCCGCGGUAAUACGGAGGAUCCGAGCGUUAUCCGGAUUUAUUGGGUUUAAAGGGAGCGUAGGUGGAUUGUUAAGUCAGUUGUGAAAGUUUGCGGCUCAACCGUAAAAUUGCAGUUGAAACUGGCAGUCUUGAGUACAGUAGAGGUGGGCGGAAUUCGUGGUGUAGCGGUGAAAUGCUUAGAUAUCACGAAGAACUCCGAUUGCGAAGGCAGUUCACUGGACUGCAACUGACACUGAGGCUCGAAAGUGUGGGUAUCAAACAGGAUUAGAUACCCUUGUGUC
rnacentral:rRNA from 1 species